GAGUGGGGUACAAAGGGGCUCAUGGCCAGAGGGGAUGGGGUGCUUCCUCCCGGAAGCCUUUCUGAGGAGCCUGUGGUCAGACAUCAGGUCAGGGGCUUCAGGGAGCGAGUCACAGCUUUCAUAAAAUCCCCAAGGGUAUCCAUGAUCCCCCAAAGACGAAGAAGCGUAAAGAUCUGGCAUAACUCCUGCCUCGGUGUUUGUGAGAUGGAUGGUCCUGGUGCUUAGGGUGACCCUAAGAGGGACCUUGGAAGCAUGCAUUGGACACAGCAGAGCCCCGCUGUGCUUGGAGUGACUGUGUAGAGAAGAACCCCUACCCUCUGCCCAUUGCAUUGGUGAUGUCAGUGAGCAAUAAACUGUUACUGGUCUAAGCCAUCAAGACUGGGGGUUUGCUUGUUACCACAGCAACACCUGCUUUGCAUGGACCCAGACACUGCUGAUGUGUUCCACCAGAUUUAGCUAUAUCCUGAAGAUUUCUGCAGUGGGUUCUGGAGCUGCGUUCCUACCUCAGUACCUCCCCUAGAAACUCAGCAUCCAAGUCCCUGGUGGGGAAGCAAUGCUUUCUCACAUUAUAAAGAUGGAAAAGAAUAUCACCAGGGAGAACUUCACCAGCCCAGAAAAUUGGCUGUUGGUCCCAGGCCUCCAACCCUCAUAUUUAUUCCUAGUCUGAGCAGAAACCCUUGCUAAGUUAGGCAUCGAUUCUGUGUGUGUGACACGCCAUAAUAACUCCUAACUUGGAGAGUUGGCUAGUUUUCAUUCAUUCAUUCGACAAAUGUUUCCUGAACUCAUAUUCUGUCUGGCUUUCCACCAAUAUUGAUUGGCUCUUGCUCUGUGUUAGGCAGUGUUUUAGCCUUGCCCUCAGAGAGUUUCUGUGCAUAAAGGGAGAUAAAAGGAAGUAGGAUGUGUUGUGGGUUAACCAAUGUUGGGGGCACAUAAAGCAGAGCUAGGGAGUAGAGAACGGUGGCGAGUGUGUGCGUGUGUGUGAACCCACAGGGACACUGUCCCUCAAUCAGAACCAGCAAAUGCCAGGGGAGGAGGUCACUGAGGGAGCCCUGGCGAGGGUGGGCCCUGUGGGCCCUGGAAAGGGCUAGGCUCUGUAUUUUACUCUGAGUGUGUUAGGAGCCAACAGAGGGUUUUCAGCAGGGCAUGAGAUGAGUGGGCUGGAGUUUGAACAGACUGCCCCGUAAAGAACAGGAGGCUCCUGUAAUCCCAGUAUUUUGGGAAGCCGAGGUGGGUGGAUCACUUGAGGCCAGGAGUUCAAGACUAGCCUGGCCAACAUGGUAAAACCCCAUCUCUGCUAAAAAUAAAAUAAAAAAAAAAAAUUAGCCAGGCAUGGUGGUGCAUGCCUGUAGUCCCAGCUACUCGGGAGGAUGAGGCAUGAGAAUCGCUUGAACCUGGGAGGAGGAGGUUGCAGUGAGCGGGGAUUGCUCCACUGCACUCCAGCCUAGGCAACAGACCGAGACUCUGUCAAGAAAAAAACAACAACAGAAGGGCAGGGAAGGGCAGGGAGUCCGUGUGGCACCAUAGCCUAGCGAUGUGAUGGGGAUGGCUUGGGCCAGGGCAGAGCAGUAGCGAUGGAGAAGUAGUUAAAUUCUGGAAAUAUUUUGAAAUUCAGUCAGGAUUGGCUGAGGAAUUGCAUGGGGAAUGGGUACUUCCUGACCUUGGCUCACUGUGGCCUCUGCUUCUUGGCCUCACACAAUCCUUCUGGUCAGCCUCCCAAGUAGCUGGGACUACAGAUGUGUGCCACCAGGCCUGGCUAAUUUUUUUUUUUUUAUAUUCUUUGUAGAGAUGAGUUCUUGCUAUGUUGCCCAGGCUGGUCUUGAACUCCUGAGCUCGAGUGAUUUGCCUGCCUUGGCCUCCCAAAGUGCUGGGAUUACAGGUGUGAGCCACUGUGCUCAGCCUCACAUAUACACACUUUAAAAUCACAAAACCCUCUUGCCCUCAGCAUCCCCCACUGGGGCCCCUACUCUUCCCUGAGGGUCUUCACACAGAGCGCUCUUACCUGAGCCUCCCCUGCCAUUCUUUGAUGGAUACUUCUAUCUUUUCUCAGGAUUCCUCAUUUUCAAGCUCCCAUUUGGAUAAGAACUCACUUGUUCACUUUAGAGAGUCCCUGAGCACCUAAUAGGUCCUCACUUGCAGGUGCUGAAUGCUCUGCUAAGAAGAGUCUCGGCUGGGCGCGGUGGCUCAUGCCUGUAAUCCCAGCACUUCGGGAGGCCAAGGUGGGUAGAUCAUGAGGUCAAGAGAUUGAGACCAUCCUGGCCAACAUGGUGAAACCCCAUCUCUACUAAAAAUAUCAAAAAAAUAGCCAGGCAUGGUGGCGGGUGCCUGUAAUCCCAGCUACUCAGGAGGCUGAGGUAGGAGAAUCGCUUGAACCUGGGAGGCAGAGGUUGCAGUGAGCCAAGAUCUCCACUGCACCCCGGCCUGGGUGACAGAGGGAGACUCCAUCUCAGACAACAACAGCAACAAAGAAGAGUCUCAUGCACACGGGGUCGGCACCUGGCUGCUGCUGGAACCCAGGGCCCCUGACUCCCAGCCUGGGUUUCCUCCCUGCGUGGGAGCUGGAACAGUAGCGUGUAGAGUGUUUCUGCAGGGCUUGCUGUGAGUCAGGCACUGUGUCAAAUGCCUGCAAGCACCGUCUCAUCCUCACCAUCACUUUAUGGAGCAGCUUCUCUGGGCAUCUCCAUUUCUGCCAGCUCUCUGCGCCAAGCCCACGCUCCUAAUGACUUGACUGUCCUGCCAGUCAGGGCUGGUCACGGGGGCAGUGAGAGUCAUUUGGAGGGGCCCAGAGCGGUGGGUGCCUCCCUACUCAGGCCCGUUUGGUGUGGAAUCAAGAACAGGAGGACUCUGAGGAGGACCUGACACACCCUGGAACCAGAACCUGGGACUCUAUGCCUUUUCCAGAGAGAAACAGCUCAGCCAUGGCUUGGAGGAGCGAUCUGUCCUUCCUCCUCUGGGUGACCGUGUGAUUGAUUUUUUGUUCCAAUUUUUGAUGACUUAGGAAAUACCAAAAAAGAAAAAGGGAACAAUAAACCUCAUCUCUCAUCACUCAGUGGGUGAGAGAAGAUACUACUGGUCUACCCAAGACCCAUUUCCCCCUUCAUAUCACCUCUCCUUAGGGCAGCCCUGAAUGUGAUGCUUACCGUUGCCAUGCACAUCUUUAUACUUGAAAUAUAAAAGGAUGUAACCCAGCCUGGCAUGGUGGCUCAUGACUGUAAUUCUAGCAGUUUGGAGCCUGAGGUGGGCAGAUCACCUGAGGUCAGGAGUUCAAGACCAGCCUGGCCAAUGUGGUAAAACCCCAUCUCUACUAAAAAUACAAAAAUUAGCAGGGCGUGGUGGUGCAUGCCUGUUGUCUCGGCUACUUGGGAGGCUGAGGCACAGGUAUUGCUUGAACCCGGGAGACAGAGGUUGCAGUGAGCUGACAUCAAGCCACUAUACUCCAGCCUGGGCCACAGAGCAAGACUUCAUCUCAAAGAAAAAAAAAAAAAAAAGGAUAUAACCCCAAGCCUACACAGAGUUGUUUUGUAUGCUAUUAAUCUUGAUAUAGGCCGAGUGCAGUGGCUCACCCCUGUAAUCCCAGCACUUUGGAGGCGGAGCAGGUCGAUCACUUGAGGUCAGGAAUUUGAGACCAGCCUGGCUAACGUGGUGAAACCCUGUCUCUACUAAAAAUGCAAAAGUCAGCUGGGGAUGUACACCUGUAGUCCCAGCCACUUGAGAGGCUGAAGCAGGAGAAUAGCUUGAACCUGGGAGGCGGAGGUUGCAGUGAACCCAGAUAGUACCACAGCACUCCAACCUGGGAGACAGAGCGAGACGCUGUCUCAAGAGGAAAGAAAAUAAAUCUUGACAUAAACGUCGUCCUUUAUCUAUCCUCCUAUAACUUACAUUCUAUGCUGUAUUUGUGAGAUGCAUCUGUGCUUAUACGUGUAGCUCAAGUUCAUUUUCACUACUGUAGCAUAUUCUAUUGAUGGAUGUCAUAAUUUGCCCAUUCUACUAAUGGCUAUUUUCCUUGCAGUAAACAUUCCAUUAGGUGUCGCCUUUAUAUGACAUUUCUCCUGAGGAUUUCUCAGAAAGUUCCUUCAAGCAGACUAUGAAAGUUUCAACUUCUAAUUUAUUUAUUAUCACAGUGGCGAGUCUUAGGAUUUAACUUGUUUUCAUUGCACAUAACAUAUAUAGCAGACAUGUCUCUGCAUCUCUUGGGCCCUGCCUGUCCUCUGUCUGAGGGUGUGUAUGAGUUUCGAUUUGGGGAUGGGGUGAAUCACAGGCAUACUUGCUGUCUGUGUUAUUUGGUCGUAAAACAUGGCCUUUCCAGAAUGUCAUGGACAAGGUCUUCAUCUUUAACUUUAAACUGUAGCUGAAGAUGAAGUUUCAGAAGUUAACCCACUUGGGUGGGGUAGGGAGUCAGAGGAGCAGGAUCUUGAAGGAGGGUGGAGUGGCUGAAAGGGGGUGAGUCUCUCUGAGGGCUGAGCGCAGGACUCCUCAUGCAGCUUUGUGUGGCUUGCAAAACAAUUGUCUGGGAUUCUUAGGUGUGGACUCCUUGUGUGAUGGACGGGGAUGGGAAGUGUGUUAGUCUUUUUCCACACUGCUGAUAAAGACACACCUGAGACUGGGAAGAAAAAGAGGUUUAGUUGGACUUACAGUUCCACAUUGUGGGGGAGGCCUCAGAAUCAUGGUGGCAGGUGAAAGGCACUUCUUACGUGGUGGCGGCAAGGGAAAAAUAAGAAGCAAAAGCAGGAACCCCUGAUAAACCCAUCAUAUCUUGUGAGACUUUAUUCACUAUCCUGAAAAUAGCAUGGGAAAGACACCCCAUGAUUCAAUUAUGGAUCCUCCCACAACACGUGGGAAUUCUGGGAGCUACAAUUCAAGUUGAGGUUUGGGUGGGAACACAGCCAAACCCUAUCAAGAAUGGAGGAUGCGGGAGGAAGCUGCCUGAGGAGUGAGGAGGCCAUGAGUUUUCCCUAGGUCAGGGUGAGAACUGCAGAGCAAAGUGAUUAAGCACUUGGUAUAUGAAGUCAGAUGUCUGAGUUCAAAUCCAGGAUCUGCCAUGUAUUUGCUGUGUGAUCCUGGGCGAGAGACCUAACCUUUCUGUCUCAGUUUGGGUUUCCUCAAAAGUAGGCCAUAAAACAUGGAUUCGGGUACCAGUCAUUUAUUUGGGAGGUGACCCGAAGACACCCAGGUGAAGAUAGAGGUGGUGAGACUGGAAAGGAAGGACAGCAGGUGGGAGGCAUUAAGGAGAAAGUGGGGUCUCUGUGAGGUGAUGUGGCUGCAUCCCAGAAGCUUGGACAUUUAACCAUUGGCUCUCAUCCCCAUUGGGGCAUCUAUUGCACCCCUGUUUCUCCUGAGCUGGGCUAGGAAAACUUCCAUGUGUCCAGAGAAAGCCCUGGGGUGAGAGAGGCCAGAGGCAGACACGGGGCUGAGUGAGAAGCCAUUUGCCAGUACACCAGGUCCUGUCUGUACCUGAGGCUGGCUCCAGAGGGUGGAGAGGACAUGGGUGGGGGACAUCAGUGAAGGCUGCUGGUGCCUCAUCUGUAAAAGGAACAACAGCUGUUCCUAUAGGAACAGGGUAACAUGAGGUCAGUCCUGGCAUACAGUAAGCACUCAAUGAAUGCUAAGUGCCCCCCCAAGGCUGUGAAAGGACCUGUUUGAAGAAAUGGAAGCUUGGAGAGAGAAUAUAACAUAGACCUGGUCACAGAACUAUGAGAUGACAGGGCUACAAUUUGGACCCAAAGUUUGUGUAACCUCCAGGGACACCAGGCCUUCUCAGAGAGCUCCAGGGCCCAGAGACAUUAACCCUCCUGGAGCUGGAUGUAGGGUGGCUGUUUGCCUCACUGGCCUCAGGCAGGGCACAAGUACUGACCCGGAGUCUCAGGAGACGACCAGAGGGAGACCCGUGCCCUGGCCAGGCCAGGAGUCCCCUCUUGCCAGUAGAGGGCGCUGAGCACAGAGCAGGCCGGGUAGAGCAGUAACCAUUUAGAAGCAAGUGAAUUUCUCAAUUUACAGAAAUGGGGUGCGUUUAGGGUGGUGGAGAAAACGGAACCCUUAUACACUGCUGGUGGGAAUGCAAAUCCAUUCAACCACUGUGGAAAGCAGCCUGACAAUUUCUCAAAUAACUUAAAAAGUACUAUCAUUCAACCCAGCAAUCCCAUUACUGCAUAUACAUCCAAAGGAGUAGAAAUUGUUCUAUUAUAAAGACACAUGCGUGUAUAUCUUCAUUACAGCACUAUUUACAAUAGCAAAGACAUGGAGUCAACCUAAGUGCCCAUCAGUGGUGGACUGGAUAAAGAAAAUGUGGUACACAUACACCAUGGAAUACUAUACAGCCAUAAAAAUGUCCUUUGUAGCAGCAUGGAUGGAGCUGAAGACCAUUAUCCUAAGCAAACUAUCACAGGAACAGAAAAUCAAAUACCACAUGUUCUCACUUAUAAGUGGGAGCUGAGCAUUGAGAAUACCUGGACACAAAGGGGAGAACAACAGACCCCUCCCCGACCCCUGCCUACUUGAGGGUGGAGAGUGGGAGGAGGGAGAAAAUUGAUAAACCACCGGUAGGGCUGGUUACCUGGGUGAUGAAAUAAUCUGUACAACGAAUCUGCACAUGUAUCCCAUGAACCUAAAACUAAGGUUGGAAAAUAAAAUAAAAUGUGGUUACUACUAAAAUAAAAAUUCUCGGCCAGGUGCAGUGGCUCACACCUGUAAUCUCAGCACUUUGGGAGGCUGAGGCAGGUGGAUCAUAAGGUCAGGAGUUUGAGACCAGCCUGACCAACAUGGUGAAACCCUGUCUCUACUAAAAAUACAAAAAAUAGCUGGGUGUGGUGGCAUGUGCCUGAAAUCCCAGCUACUCAGGAGGCUGAGGCAGGAGAAUCAUCUGAAUCCAGGAGGUGGAGGCUGCAGUGAGCCAAGAUCGUGCCAUUGCACUUCAGUCUGGGUGGCAGAGUGAGACUCUGUCUCAAAAAAAAAAAAAAAAAAAAAAAUCUCAAUUCAGCAUGUGACCAAGGAGGCUUCUGGAAUGUGGAUCUUUCACUUCUGAAACCAGACACUUCUGAGCAAACCAAAAUGAGUUGGUUAUCCGCACGUGAGUAUGUAGUCAAAGGAUGAAAAAAAGGUCCUUUCUUCCUUUCUCAGAUGCCUUAGUAUACCAACAUUUGGGCUUUUUUUUUUUUUUUUUAAACAGGGUCUUGCUCUGUGGCCUAAGCUGGAAUGUAGUGGUGUGAUCAUAGCUCACUGCAGCCUCAAACUCCUGGGAUCAAGCGGGCCUCCUGCCUCAGCCUCCAGAGUGGCUAAGACUACAGGCUUGCACUGCCACUGUGCCUGGCCCUGCCUUGAGCCUGACACUCCUCUCAAGUCCUUGGUGGUGGACCCUUGGUGGGAGUAGGGGGCUCACAGUUUUUUGUCCCUGGCAGGGUUGCCACAGGCUCCUUCCUACAGACUCUGGGGUCAGAUAUAGGUUCUGCCUGCUGGCCGAGUUAUCAACCUCAGUUUCCUCCUCUAUAAAAUGGGGCUAGUAGAUGUGAGCUGCUGAUAUCCCUGAGACCAGAGAGUGCGUGUUUUGUCACGGCUGAGUCCCCAGUGCCUAGAAGUCCCUAGUGCUGUGGUAUUCCACCCAGCUUUGCUGAAUGCGUGCAUGUAAAACACUUGCAGCGAUGUGCUUGAUUUACUGGAAAGUAACACAUGCCAAGUUUGGGAGGCUUAAGUCAUAUUAUUAUUCUCUGUGGAUAUGAAGCCUUUUUAUCAUCAAUAUAAGGCAAACGAAGGGUGCUCAUUUUGCGGGUGGAUUAAAUAAGAGUUGUGUCUCACCCUGCUGCUGAGUUCUAAAGUCGGAAAGAUGUUAAGUGCACGUUGCAAAGGACUUUGGUGGCGGGUGGGGUGCUAGAGGCAGAGGGGCCUUUGAGGAACACUCUGACUUUUUACGUACUGAGUUACAGUUGAGGAAACUGAGGCUCAGUGAAGGGAAAAGAUUUCUAAAAGCUGCAUGGGUUGUAAGCAGCAGAGUUGGGAUUUAAGCUGGGUCUGCUGACUCCCAGUCCAUCCUAACUCUGAAAGUGUAGCCCUGAUCUACAGGUGUGUAGAUGGAGGGAGGCUCUCAGGGAAGGGGAGCAACUGGCUGGGCCAGGAAGCUAGGAGGUGGCAGAGCCCGAGGGACAGGCUGCUUGUGUCACGGAAGGCUGGGGUGAAGUGUGUAGGAACCGGAUGCUCAGAGAGAUGUAAGGAGUGGGACGGAAGCAGGAUUUGGAGGGUCCUUUUUACAUCCGGGUGCACGUCCUUUUGCAUCUGGGUACAAUGGACCCAUUGGUGUGAACUCCAUGUACCCUGGACUCUGGAGCUUCAGUUUCCUCAUUUGUAAAGAAAGGAAAUAGUCAACUGUGCCCCUCCUCUGAGGCUUUUGGGGUGCAGGUGGGGAACUCCCUUGAACUCCUGGAGGAGGAAACAUUGCCAGGGGGCAGCUAAUGGUCACCCAGACCCCCAGACCCCUAGACCCAUUUGGUUGCCAGCUCUGUCCCACGCCCCCUCCAGCCCACUCCACGAUUCUAAACUAGAGCAACCCCCUGAGCUGGGGCUGGGCUGGCCCCAGGUCAUGGAAUGUGAGCAGACUUUUCAUCAAAUUAUUCCUCCACAUUUGCAGAGAGGAGGAAUUAUUGGCAGAAAAUGAGGACGUAAAACCCUGCUGGAGCCUAGCACCUUUUUGGGGCACUCAGAGCAGAGCACUUGGAAGCUGUCCAGCAGAUUGGCUCAUUUUUAAUGGUCUAGGACUAUAGUUCAUCUGUUUAAUUCAAACGAGGUGACAUAAUAUGUUUCAUUUGGACUUAUUAUCAGCACGGCAGUGAUUCGGCUCCCAGCAUUCUCCGGGCAGGACAUUCUGUCAUUACUGCACAUUUUCUCUCUCUGGCCAAAUUGAAAGUCCGCGGGAAGGGCAGCAGCCUCUGAAGGGAGAGAUCAACAGAGUGUAGGUCACAUCGGGUGUUAAGGAAUGAAAAUGAAUUCAUUCUUUUUUCCGUUGAAUAAGCAGCUGUACUUGGGUCUCUGUGAUCCAUGAAAUAGGCUGUCAGGAAAAUAGGAAAUGGGCUGCAUUUGAACUUUGCUGUUGAUUCUGCCUCUGUCGCCCUGAAGACUGGUGUUGCCUCCCAGGGCAGAGCAGAGGGAGGAGGGGGUGACUUAAGGAGUGGGACGGAAGCAGGACUUGUAGGGUCCCGUGUCCUUUUGGAUCCGGGUACACUGGACCCACUGGUGUGACCCCCAUGCACCCUGGACUCUGGAGCCUCAGUUUUCUUAUUUGUAAAGGAAGGCAAGAGUCAACUGUGCCCCUCCUCUUUUGCACCUCCACUUUUGGGGUGCAGCUGGGGUGCUCUCUUGAACUCCUGGAGGAAGAAACAUUACCAGGGAGAAGUUAAUGGUCACCCGGAUCCCCAGAACCUACUUGGCUGCCAGCUCUGUCCCCCCACUGCCCCAACACUUCUAAAUUAGUGCAACCCCCUGAGCUAUGGCAGGGCUGGCCCCAAGUUGUGGAAUGUGAGGGGUGCACAUUCAUGGGCACCUUCCCUAUGCCAGACCCCUGGUGUUCUGGAUGGUCCUUGAGGAGUGAGGGUGGAGCUCUGUUUUGAAGAUGAUGAUGACAGGCUCAGAAAAAUGCAGAUACUUUCUCAAGGUCAGCUUAGGGGCAGAACCUGGUUUCCGUUUGCCACUUAGAGCAUUGUAGAUGGGAAAUUGGGCUGAAGCAGCUCAAAGCCUCAAUCUGCAUAUUUACGGGCGUGAGAGGUUGAGCAAGCUGUUUGAAAGCAAGUCUUAAGCUUCCCACAUGCUAGAAAUGCCCAUUUCACUCGAUUGCGUGAGGGUUAGAGGAGAGAAGAUCAUACUGAGCUCAGCACUAGGCAUCCUGUGUAGUGUCUGCUCCCAAAUGUGAUUUCUCUGUUCACCUAUAUCUAUCUCUAUGUCUAUAACUAUAUAUCCUAUAUCAUUCUUUAUUAUAUACUUUUGCCUUUCCAUUCCUCAGAUUAUGGAGUGUGAGCCUGAAGUGGGGAGACUGAGAUACUUUCCCAAAGACGAAGUGCAGUGGGGUUGGGGCUAGGACCUGUCCCUUGGACUGACCUGAUUCUGUGUUCUUUGGACUAUGUCAAGUGAUAGAAAGUCUGGGCUGGAAAGGGGAUUUUGAGAAGUUGAUUCUGGAAUUAUUUCUUUUCCUUCUCUUUUCCCCUCUCUCUCUCUGUAACACUCUUCACCAUUAGUAUAUUUUGUCCAUUGUCUGUUCAUUAUUUGCCUAGAAUUUACAUGAAGGAUGGGUUUGCCCAGUUCACUGCUGUAUCCCAGUGCCUAGAACCACAGCUGGAACUGGAGUGAGGUGGGUGAGACAUCUUGCAAGUGUAAGCUUGGCUCUUCAGUGAAAAUUUCCAUGUUUUGUUCAUUGUGGAUAUUUCCGCAUUAAUUUUUUUUUUUGAUAUGGAGUCUACAUCUGUUGUCUAGGUUGGAGUGCAUGGGUGCGAUCUCGGCUCAGGGUCUCACUGCAACCUCUGCCUCCUGGGUUCGAGUGAUUCUCAUGCCUCCCAAGUAGCCGGAAUGACAGGUGUGUGCAACCAUGCCCAGUUAAUUUUUGUAUUUUUAGUAGAGAUGAGGUUUUAACAUGUUGGCCAGGCUGGUCUCGAACACCUGACCUCAGGUGAUCCACCUGCCUCGACCUCCCAAUGUGCUGGGAUUAUGGGCUUGAGACACUGUGUCUGGCCUCUGCAUUAGUUUUUAUUUUAUAUCACUGUGUUAAAAUAUUGAUUACCAUAAUUACAACUGUUUGGCACCCUCUGAAAUGUUGCCCUUCCCCAGGCAGAUGCCUAACCUGUCUGAUCCUAGUCCGAGCCCUGCCUAGAUCGCAUAGUUUCAAGUGACAUUCAGUAAGGAUUUGUAGAAUGCAUGAUGCCCUGUUACGUCAAUUUCUGGGCCUCCCGAAGACAAAACUGUUCCCCAGUGGAUGAUCAAUUCCCCUUGUAUCUGAAGGAAGCCAAAACCCCAGAUUGAGCUUUUAUUUGGCUCUCUAAUUUGGGGGCAGCUGAGUAUUUCUGACAGUGGCAAGCUAAAGAGUAUGGGUGUGUCUCUUCAGGACCUGAUUGUGGAACCAAUUAGAACCUGAAUCUCUAAAACCGCCUAAUGGGAGAAUGGAACGCAAGAUAUCCUUGGGGCUCUGAAAACGUACGCAGAAGUUCACUCCGCCAUUAGAGAUGCAGCACCUUUCCCUCUCCUAGAUGUUUCUUGCAAGUAAAAGCCACACGGGGUUGUACUGACAAUUGUUAGUGUAAUGAGAUCUGACUGUGCAAUCCCCUUCCCUGUGGGGGGCACACCUGGGCCGAGACAGCUGGGUUUCUGCUGUGAUGCCUCUGUUGUUCCAUUUCAAUGAAAUAUCAGAUCCUGCCUCCAUCUUCGGCUCCAUUUCCCUCCAAAGCUGAGGUUUCAUCGAGAAGCAUUCUUUUAAUUGGGGUAGGAGUGAGAAAUAACCUCCUAUAUAAUUUAAAAUGGUAAAAUUAUCGAUACCUUUUCUAGCCUCAGCUUUAAAUCUUAGCCACCAACG